UAAGGAGAUGAUGGAGUCCAGCAUCAGUAGAACAAGUCUUUCUCUCAUCCACCAGUCAUACAAGGAUAAUGGUCAAAUGCCUACCAUCAAAAAGAGAGCUGGCCCAAGCAAGCCAGGUUACACCUGAAGCAUGAGGACUUGCAGCAAAUGGUGAACUUCAUCAAUAACUACGCAGAGGAUAACGCAAUAGUAUUACCAGGACGCCAUCCCAGGACACAAACACUUUGGUGGAGAGCUGCUGCAAUCCCAUGUGACAAAAGCAGCAGUGUGGCGUCUCUACAAGAAUCGAUGACAACACUUGGAAUUUUCCAAGAUGAUGUUUCUGUAUGCAGUGCUGAUGCUCUGCACAUUUGUAGGUGCACUAUCCUUCUGACCCUAUGCAGCCAGGUCCCAUCUACUUUUUAACUCCUCGCAAGUGUGGCUUGUUUGGUGUCUGCUGUGAAGCAACUACUUAAUUGAUGAAGGCAUGUCAUCCAGCAAAGGCAGAAGCUCGGUCAUCAACUACAUGCACCAUUUCUUCACCAACUAUGGAGUUGGGGAAACACAUGUGGACCUUAAUUGUGAUAACUGCAGUGGCCAAAACAAGAACAAGUUUGUGCUCUGGUAUUGUGCCUGGUGGACCAUGCUUAAGCUCCACUACAGUCUGGACCUUCACUUACCUGAUCACAGGCCACACCAAGUUUGGCCCCGACUGGUGCUUCGGCCUCAUCAAGCAGCACUUCAGAAAGACCAGAGUGAACACUUGGUCUGAGAUUGCUGGUGUUGUGAAGGACAGCACUGUGACAGGGGUCAACAUCCCACAGCUGGUUGGACUGGAGGAUGGUACAGUGCUGGUGGAAAACUAUGGCUGGCAACAACACCUGACUUCGUACUUCAGGCCGCUGCCACUGUUCAAGCAGUACCAGCACAUCAGCUUCAAUGCUCUGGCGCCUGGUGUUGUUGUCGCCAAGGAGCGUUCUGACUCAUAACAUAACAGCCUAACUGCCUCUGCUAGGAUGAGUAAAAU
ensembl:lncRNA